GUUCCGUUGACAAGUCGGUCUUAUGUUUAUAUUUAUGGUUUUGAUUAUGUUUGUGGACUCCAAACACGUUAUGUUAAUGUAGCCUAUGUUUGGGCACUUUACAUUAUAAAUGUUAUGUUUAAAUGUAAAUAGCAUCUUGAGAGCCCAUAUGGUCACUCGAGAGUGUUAAGACAUGUAAAGGAUAUGGUGCACUAAGAAUGAGGCACUUAGAUGAUAUGUGAAUGUUGCACUUACACUGAUAUGUUAAGAAGUUCCAUAUGUGUAAUGUUGCAUAUGAUAGGAUGCAUGAGAUUAUUUGUAUACUUAUGAGGAUUAUGUAUGUUUUUGAAAUGAU
rnacentral:lncRNA from 1 species